GCACCUAUGGCCUAAUGGAUAAGGCGCUUAACUUAUAAUUAUAAUCAAGUGAUAGUGGGGACGAGUCCCACUAGGUGUG
rnacentral:tRNA from 1 species